CCUGUGUGGGUGCGCAGGUGUUGGUUCAGAUGAGUCUUUUGUGAGCAGCUCUGAGGGCAUGCAGGGCACUGAAAUGGCCUCUCGCCUGUGUGGGUGCGCAGGUGUCGGCUCAGAUUACACUUUUGUGAGAAGCUCUGAGAGCAUGAAGGGCACUGAAAUGGCCUGUCACCUGUGUGGGUGCACAGGUGUCGGUUCAGAUGACUCUUUUGUGUGAAGCUCUGAGGGCAUGCAGGGCACUGAAACGGUCUCUCGCCAGUGUGGGUGCGCAGGUGUCGGUUCAGAUUACAAUUUUGUGAGAAGCUCUGAGGGCAUGCAGGGCACUGAAAUGGCCUCUCGCCUGUGUGGAUGCGCACAUGUUUCUUCAGUGUGGUCUUGAGUGAGAAGCUUUGAGGGCACGCACUGAAAUGGCUUCUCGCCUGUGUGGGUGCGCAUGUGUCGGUUCAGAUUACAAUUUUGUGAGAAGCUCUGAGGGCAUGCAGGGCACUGAAAUGGCCUCUCGCCUGUGU